rnacentral:lncRNA from 1 species
ACGCCAACGGGCCACCCCUAAUUUUAAAGACGCUUAUGAUGACUAACCGGAAGAUAAACAUCACAACAAUUUAACCUUCACACUUUGUACAGGCUUAGGACUGUCAGCCGAUGAGGAAAAAUUUCUAAUUUAUUGAACAAAAUGAAAAAGAAACUUCUUCUUAAUUUUUAUUUGAUUUUCGUACUUCUAAAACAAAAUAAAAUUUUUCCUCCUCGGUCGGCGUGGUUAAAAAUUACCGCGGGUGAAACAGAAGACUCGUGCAAUGGAACUUGAACACUUGCUACCACGAAGCUAUUAAAAUGCAACCCUACGAAGCGGUUUUUGGAGAAAAAGCCAAACUUGGUUUAGGUUCUUCUUUGCCCUCCUGCUUUUUAGAAGAAAUCAGCUCAGGAACUUUGGAAGAGGAGUUGAUGGAAAUGAUUUCUGCAGCUGAAAGCGAAGCAAUUGUAGAGGUCGAGGGUGGGAUUUCUGUAGAUGCCUUUUUACCUGUUGAAAUGCCCGAUGAAACCACUAUCGAUGGACCUCUUCGUAAGAGACCUUGUCUGGAUGUUGUCCCUGAUAACUCAGCAGUACCAGCCACUCAAUUUAUUCAGAAAGUGACUCCGGCCCUGAAAAGUCCGAAGUUUCCGCCAAUCAAGUGCCCCAAACGGAAAAAUUGCCCGUGGAAAGUGACUCCGGCCCUGAAAAGUCCGAAGUUUCCGCCAAUCAAGUGCCCCAAACGGAAAAAUUGCCCGUGGAAAGUGACUCCGGCCCUGAAAAGUCCGAAGUUUCCGCCAAUCAAGUGCCCCAAACGGAAAAAUUGCCCAUGGAAAAUGACUCCGGCCCUGAAAAGUCCGAAGUUUCCGCCAAUCAAGUGCCCCAAACGGAAAAUUGCCCAUGGAAAGUGAAUCCGCCCCUGACAAACAUCCUGCGAUUGUUGCUAGAGAAAAAGCCAGCGUAAACUUGAAGAAACAGGCGGAGAAAAUGGUGAACCGAACCGAGGAGGAAAAAUUUUAUUUUGUUUUAGAAGUACGAAAAUCAAAUAAAAAUUAAGAAGAAGUUUCUUUUUCAUUUUGUUCAAUAAAUUAGAAAUUUUUCCUCAUCGGCUGACAGUCCUAAGCCUGUACAAAGUGUGAAGGUUAAAUUGUUGUGAUGUUUAUCUUCCGGUUAGUCAUCAUAAGCGUCUUUAAAAUUAGGGGUGGCCCGUUGGCGUAAUUUUGCAAAUUUCCACCGGCCAGUCCGCGGACUGGGCAAAAAAAAUGGCCAGUUCGCGGACUGGGCA